rnacentral:rRNA from 1 species
AUUGAACGCUGGCGGCAUGCCUUACACAUGCAAGUCGAACGGCAGCACGGACUUCGGUCUGGUGGCGAGUGGCGAACGGGUGAGUAAUGUAUCGGAACGUACCUUUCAGUGGGGGAUAACGUAGCGAAAGUUACGCUAAUACCGCAUAUUCUGUGAGCAGGAAAGCAGGGGAUCGAAAGACCUUGCGCUGAUUGAGCGGCCGAUAUCAGAUUAGCUAGUUGGUGGGGUAAAGGCCUACCAAGGCGACGAUCUGUAGCGGGUCUGAGAGGAUGAUCCGCCACACUGGAACUGAGACACGGUCCAGACUCCUACGGGAGGCAGCAGUGGGGAAUUUUGGACAAUGGGGGCAACCCUGAUCCAGCCAUGCCGCGUGAGUGAAGAAGGCCUUCGGGUUGUAAAGCUCUUUCGGCCGGGAAGAAAUCGCACAGGCUAAUACCCUGUGUGGAUGACGGUACCGGAAUAAGAAGCACCGGCUAACUACGUG